rnacentral:rRNA from 1 species
UAGGGAAUCUUCCGCAAUGGACGAAAGUCUGACGGAGCAACGCCGCGUGAGUGAGGAAGGUCUUCGGAUCGUAAAACUCUGUUGUCAGGGAAGAACCGCCGGGAUGACCUCCCGGUCUGACGGUACCUGACGAGAAAGCCCCGGCUAACUACGUGCCAGCAGCCGCGGUAAUACGUAGGGGGCAAGCGUUGUCCGGAAUUAUUGGGCGUAAAGCGCGCGCAGGCGGCUUCUUAAGUCAGGUGUGAAAGCCCACGGCUCAACCGUGGAGGGCCAUCUGAAACUGGGGAGCUUGAGUGCAGGAGAGGAGAGCGGAAUUCCACGUGUAGCGGUGAAAUGCGUAGAGAUGUGGAGGAACACCAGUGGCGAAGGCGGCUCUCUGGCCUGUAACUGACGCUGAGGCGCGAAAGCGUGGGGAGCAAACAG